rnacentral:piRNA from 1 species
UCAAACAGCUCUUGAAGAGCCAGAAAAA